rnacentral:ncRNA from 1 species
UAAAAGUUUGGUCCUGACUUUACUAUCAACUCUAGCUAAACUUACACAUGCAAGUAUCCGCAACCCCGUGAGAAUGCCCUACAGUUUCCUUUAGGAAACAAGGAGCUGGUAUCAGGCUCAACUAGUUAGCCCAUAACACCUUGCUAAGCCACACCCCCAAGGGAACUCAGCAGUGAUAAACAUUAAGCAAUAAGUGAAAACUUGACUUAAUAAAAGCUAAGAGGGCCGGUUAAACUCGUGCCAGCCACCGCGGUUAUACGAGGGGCUCAAGCUGAUAGCCAUCGGCGUAAAGAGUGGUUAGUUUAUAAACAAACUAAAGCCAAAUACUUCCAAAGCUGUUAUACGCACUCGGGAGUAAGAAGAUCAUGAACGAAAGUGACUUUAAAUUAAUGAAUCCACGAAAGCUACGGAACAAACUGGGAUUAGAUACCCCACUAUGCAUAGCCACAAACUUUGAUGAAUAUUUACACCAUCAUCCGCCCGGGAACUACGAGNCAUUAGCUUAAAACCCAAAGGACUUGGCGGUGCUUUAGACCCNACCUAGAGGAGCCUGUUCUAGAACCGAUACCCCCCGUUAAANCCUCACCCUCUCUUGUUCUUCCCGCCUAUAUACCGCCGUCGUCAGCUUACCCUGUGAAGGCCUAAUAGUAAGCAAAAUCAGUAGCACUUAAAACGUCAGGUCGAGGUGUAGCAUAUGAGAGGGGAAGAAAUGGGCUACAUUCNCUUUUUUAAGGUAAACGAAAAAUAUUAUGAAAAGAAUAUUAGAAGGAGGAUUUAGCAGUAAGCAAAAAAUAGAGAGUUUUGCUGAAACUGGCCCUGAAGCGCGCACACACCGCCCGUCACUCUCCCCGACUCAAUUCUAAAAAUAAAUAAUAAGUUAGUGAACUCAAGGGGAGGCAAGUCGUAACAUGGUAAGUGUACCGGAAGGUGCACUUGGUAAAAU